AACUGAAGAGUUUGAUCAUGGCUCAGAUUGAACGCUGGCGGCAAGCCUAACACAUGCAAGUCGAGCGGUAACAGAUCGCUGUGAUCCCUUCGGGGUGAACUUGAUGCUGACGAGCGGCGGACGGGUGAGUAACGCGUAGGAAUCUACCCAGUAGCGGGGGACAGCUCGAGGAAACUCGAAUUAAUACCGCAUACGCCCUAAGGGGGAAAGCAGGGGAUCUUCGGACCUUGCGCUAUUGGAUGAGCCUGCGUUGGAUUAGCUUGUUGGUGAGGUAAAGGCUCACCAAGGCGACGAUCCAUAGCUGGUCUGAGAGGAUGAUCAGCCACACUGGGACUGAGACACGGCCCAGACUCCUACGGGAGGCAGCAGUGGGGAAUAUUGGACAAUGG
rnacentral:rRNA from 1 species